GAUGAACGCUGGCGGCGUGCCUAAUACAUGCAAGUCGAGCGAAUGGAUUAAGAGCUUGCUCUUAUGAAGUUAGCGGCGGACGGGUGAGUAACACGUGGGUAACCUGCCCAUAAGACUGGGAUAACUCCGGGAAACCGGGGCUAAUACCGGAUAACAUUUUGAACCGCAUGGUUCGAAAUUGAAAGGCGGCUUCGGCUGUCACUUAUGGAUGGAGCCGCGUCGCAUUAGCUAGUUGGUGAGGUAACGGCUCACCAAGGCAACGAUGCGUAGCCGACCUGAGAGGGGGAUCGGCCACACUGGGACUGAGACACGGCCCAGACUCCUACGGGAGGCAGCAGGAGGGAAUCUUCCGCAAUGGACGAAAGUCUGACGGAGCAACGCCGGGUGAGUGAUGAAGGCUUUCGGGUCGUAAAACUCUGUUGUUAGGGAAGAACAAGUGCUAGUUGAAUAAGCUGGCACCUUGACGGUACCUAACCAGAAAGCCACGGCUAACUACGUGCCAGCCGCCGCAGUAA
rnacentral:rRNA from 1 species